rnacentral:misc_RNA from 1 species
GGAAGUAAAAGCCGUAACAAGGGUUCCGUAGGUGAACCUGCGGAAGGAUCAUUAUUGUAUAACCGAGGUGCGAGGGCUGUCGCUGACCCGAAAGGUCGUGCACGCCCGAGUGCCCUCACACACAUCCAUCUCACCCCUAUGUGCACCACCGCGUGGGUCCCCCUUUGGCUUGUUCGGAGGGGGGCUUACGUUUUCACACAAACUUUGUAUGCAGUGUAGAAUGUAUUUUUUGUUUUUGCGAUCACGCAAUCAAUACAACUUUCAACAACGGAUCUCUUGGCUCUC